rnacentral:rRNA from 1 species
CGGUUGAUCCUACCGGACCCGACCGCUAUUUGGGUGAGGAUAAGCCAUGCGUGCCGUAUGGGAUUCCUAAAAAUCCCAUGGCGAACUGCUUAAUAACACAUGAUCAACUUACCCUAUGGAGAAAAAUAACCUCGGGAAACUGAGGAUAAUUUUUCAUAGUUGAAUAGGCUUGGAAAAGUUAUUCAACGAAUGAGAUAAGGAAAAUGGUUCUUAUCUGCCAUAGGAUAGGAUCGUGUUCGAUUAUGGUUGUUGGUGAGGUAACGGCUCACCAAGCCGAUAAUCGAUAGGGGCCGUGAGAGCGGGAGCCCCAAGAUGGGUACUGAGACAACGACCCAGGCCUUACGAGGCGCAGCAGGCGCGAGACCUCCGCAAUACACGAAAGUGUGACGGGGUUACCCAAAGUGUUCACUUUUGAACUGUGGUAGGUGAGUAAUGUCCCCUACUAGAAAGGAGAGGGCAAGGCUGGUGCCAGCCGCCGCGGUAAAACCAGCUCUUCAAGUGGUCGGGAUAAUUAUUGGGCUUAAAGUGUCCGUAGCCGGUUUAGUAAGUUCCUGGUAAAAUCGGAUAGCUUAACUAUCCGCAUGCUAGGAAUACUGCUAUACUAGAGGGCGGGAGAGGUCUGAGGUACUAUAGGGGUAGGGGUGAAAUCUUAUAAUCCUUGUAGGACCACCAGUGGCGAAGGCGUCAGACUGGAACGCGCCUGACGGUGAGGGACGAAAGCCAGGGGAGCGAACCGGAUUAGAUACCCGGGUAGUCCUGGCCGUAAACGAUGCAUACUAGGUGAUGGUACGGCCGUGAGCCGUAUCAGUGCCGUAGGGAAACCGUUAAGUGUGCCGCCUGGGAAGUACGGUCGCGAGGCUAAAACUUAAAGGAAUUGGCGGGGGAGCAC